rnacentral:rRNA from 1 species
AUUGAACGCUGGCGGCAUGCUUUACACAUGCAAGUCGAACGGUAACAGGCCGCAAGGUGCUGACGAGUGGCGAACGGGUGAGUAAUGCAUCGGAACGUGCCCAGUCGUGGGGGAUAACUACUCGAAAGAGUAGCUAAUACCGCAUAAGAUCUAUGGAUGAAAGCGGGGGACCGUAAGGCCUCGCGCGAUUGGAGCGGCCGAUGUCAGAUUAGGUAGUUGGUGGGGUAAAGGCUCACCAAGCCAACGAUCUGUAGCUGGUCUGAGAGGACGACCAGCCACACUGGGACUGAGACACGGCCCAGACUCCUACGGGAGGCAGCAGUGGGGAAUUUUGGACAAUGGGCGCAAGCCUGAUCCAGCAAUGCCGCGUGCAGGAAGAAGGCCUUCGGGUUGUAAACUGCUUUUGUACGGAACGAAACGGCUCUGGUUAAUACCCGGGGCUAAUGACGGUACCGUAAGAAUAAGCACCGGCUAACUACGUG